CUUUCCCACAUAAAGUGGUUCUGUCCCUGUAUAUUCCUCAACCACAAAGAAUUGGUUCCAAACCCAGCCACGUUUUACUCGGCCAGACACCUCCAAUGACAAUCCCGUUUCCAUUGAAACCAUUCCCAAGAGCUUUGGGCUGCAAAAAAUCAGCACCACAGUCCAGGCAAAGCCUUGAGCAGCCAUUCCAAGUCCACUGGGUCUCCAAGACCUCACAUCACGCAGCAGGUAGUUGUAAACCAUGGAUGGUGGUGAUAGAGAGUUCCAUAAUUACCACAUCCCUCAUUUAUAGCCAUUCUGCUGAGGCAUUCUUUAAAUGAACCAGACAGUACCUAGGUUGACUGUGGUGGGAUGUGCAAGACCAGUCGAAAAUGUCUGAAUUUAAUAUAAGAUAUAUCAAAAUGCACUAGGAUUGGUUAACGCUAACCUGGACUGUGAAGAUAGGUAGGAAGUUUAAGGUGCACAAACUUGUACAGUGUUGGAACCCGCUGGAUGAGUUGUGAUGCUACAAAACAGUAAAAUAAAUUGACGUGGACAGGUAAGUUGUAUAUUAGAAUAUAAUGACAUUAAAAUAGAUCUAGCUCCACUGAUCUAGAAGUUGGUUCUCCGUGUUAAAUUGGGACAUUUGAAUAAUGCAACAAUGUUCUACCACACACUGAGCUUUGAGCCUAGAUUUUCUUAAACUUACUAUGAUGACCCCUACUGUGCUAGAUCACACUAUGUUUUUUUGUGGUGUAGAAGCUGUAAUUGGAUAUAGUAAGGAGUACUGAAUCGAGUUAAUAAAAUGUGUUCAAUAUAGUGCACUGGUAGAGGGAACACAAUUAAUGAACAGAGCAGGUAUACAAUGUGUAUUUUUAUGUACUGCAAUAUCAAGCUGCAUGAUAUUUUGUCUUACCAAACAAGACCUGGAUGUAUUAAAAAAACUGAAAUAUAUAAGGACCCUCUGGUUGGAUACGGGGAUAUACAGAGAUGUGGAGGAAUUAUGUAUUUCCAGAAGAAUAACCAAAUUGUUCUGCUCAGUGCCCUAUUUUGUCAAGUGCUAUGGUUUAUGUGAUUAUAUUAAGCUCAGUACUGGGUUAUAAUAAACUGUAAGGUGAUGAACUCAAAGGCCUCACAGUUGAAUUCCCUGUUCUCCUAUUUGCACCAAAAGGCUUCCUGUUUUCUCCAUUUCUUAAACCGAGACCUCCAAAUCCCUGAUCUUUAUCGCAUAUGGCUUUCUGUGAUGAGAGGUUAAAGCUGGUUUUGUAGCCCACAGUGGAACGACACUAUUCCUUUCAUCUCUGCCCACGAGAAGUAGACAGCGUUACAUCCCAUCCUUGGAAAUCAAUGAUCCGAGCAGAUGAGCAGUCCCAGUCCGUCUAGAGAUUCUCGACCU